rnacentral:rRNA from 14 species
AUUCCUUGUCGGGUAAGUUCCGACCUGCACGAAUGGAGUAACGACUUCCCCGCUGUCUCAACCAUGAACUCGGCGAAAUUGCAUUACGAGUAAAGAUGCUCGUUUCGCGCAGCAGGACGGAAAGACCCCGGGACCUUUACUAUAGUUUGGUAUUGGUGAUUGGGACGGUUUGUGUAGGAUAGGUGGGAGACGUUGAUGCGGCCACGCUAGUGGUGGUGGAGUCGUUGUUGAAAUACCACUCUGAUCGGAUUGAGCACCUCAACCUUGGCCCAUGAUCUGGGUUGGGGACAGUGCCUGGUGGGUAGUUUAACUGGGGCGGUUGCCUCCUAAAAUGUAACGGAGGCGCCCAAAGGUUCCCUCAGCCUGGUUGGCAAUCAGGUGUUGAGUGUAAGUGCACAAGGGAGCUUGACUGUGAGACAGACAUGUCGAGCAGGGACGAAAGUCGGGACUAGUGAUCCGGCACCUACUUGUGGAUGUGGUGUCGCUCAACGGAUAAAAGGUACCCCGGGGAUAACAGGCUGAUCUUCCCCAAGAGUCCAUAUCGACGGGAUGGUUUGGCACCUCGAUGUCGGCUCGUCGCAUCCCGG